ACGAACGCUGGCGGCAGGCCUAACACAUGCCAGUCGAGCGAGGACUUCGGUUCUAGCGGCGGACGGGUGAGUAACGCGUGGGAAUGUGCCCUUCUCUACGGAAUAGCCCUGGGAAACUGGGAGUAAUACCGUAUACGCCCUAUUGGGGAAAGAUUUAUCGGAGAAGGAUCAGCCCGCGUUGGAUUAGGUAGUUGGUGGGGUAAUGGCCUACCAAGCCGACGAUCCAUAGCUGGUUUGAGAGGAUGAUCAGCCACACUGGGACUGAGACACGGACCAGACUCCUACGGGAGGCAGCAGUGGGGAAUCUUAGACAAUGGGGGCAACCCUAAUCUAGCCAUGCCGCGUGAGUGAUGAAGGCCUUAGGGUUGUAAAGCUCUUUCAGCUGGGAAGAUAAUGACGGUACCAGCAGAAGAAGCCCCGGCUAACUCCGUG
rnacentral:rRNA from 1 species